UACAGAGGGGGCAAGCGUUAUUCGGAAUUAUUGGGCGUAAAGGGCGCGUAGGCGGCCUGGCAAGUGGAAGGUGAAAUCCCUCGGCUUAACCGAGGAACUGCCCUCCAAACUGCUUGGCUUGAGUCCGGGAGAGGUGAGUGGAAUUCCCAGUGUAGCGGUGAAAUGCGUAGAUAUUGGGAGGAACACCCGUGGCGAAGGCGGCUCUCUGGGACGGUACUGACGCUGAGACGCGAAAGCGUGGGGAGCGAACAGG
rnacentral:rRNA from 1 species